rnacentral:rRNA from 1 species
AAUAUUGCACAAUGGGCGAAAGCCAGAUGCAGCAACGCCGCGCGAGUGAUGAAGGCAAUAGGGACGUAACGCACUGUGAUCAGAGAUGAUAAUGACAGUACCUGAUAAACAAGCCACGGCUAACUACUUGCCAGCAGCCGCGGUAAGACGUAGGUGGCGAGCGUUGUCCGGAAUUAUUGGGCGUGAAGGAUGUGUAGGUGGAUACUUAAGUGGGAUGUGAAAUCCCCGGGGUCAACCCGGGAACUGCAUUCCAAACUGGGUAUCUAGAGUGCAGGAGAGGAAAGCGGAAUUCCUAGUGUGGCGGUGAAAUGCGUGGAUAUUAGGAGGAACACCAGUGGCGAAGGCGGCUUUCUGGACUGUAACUGACACUGAGGCAUGAAAGCGUGGGUAGCAAACAGG